AAAGGUGUGCGUCACAGACCCCGCCAGCCAUUGCAUCCAGACAUUAGAAAACAAAGCUCCCAUCUGCUUUGACAGAGAAUGGAACAAGGCCAGGGUCGUUCUGUGUCUUCAUCCUACCUCGGGUGGUCCAUCUUUAACACUUUAUGCUGUUGUCUGCCUCUAGGCAUUGUUGCCAUUGUCUUCUCCUCCAAGGCACAAAAUGCUAAUGCUCGUGGGGAAUCAGCUCAAGCAGAAGAUGCUUCGAGGACAGCCAGGAACAUAAAUAUCAUUGCACUUGUCUGUGGGAUAAUUAUGAUCAUCACUGUCAUUGUUCUCACGACCACCAACAUAAUUUAAAGGUUUAAUUAGAGGGCUGGUGCGCCAGAUGCAGGGACAUGUCCAUCAGGCAGUUGGGGAGGAGGAGGUACAUUAGGGGCAGAGCCAAGUGCUGACUGCGAGGCUUCUGCUGCAUGGGCAGCUGAGAGUCAGGUUGCUGCUGCAGGGUCAGUGCCUGAAAUGGGCCACUACUCACAGGUACUGUUUUGUUUUUUUGUCCAUGAGUACCCUUAUUUCUCACUGCAUACCACCACCUCCUGGUGAAUCUAGGUAAAUACUUGGGUAACACUUAAUUUCUUUCCUACCGGCAUUCUAC